CACGUAGGGCGCAAGCGUUGUCCGGAAUUAUUGGGCGUAAAGAGCUCGUAGGCGGUCUGUUGCGUCUGCUGUGAAAACCCGGGGCUUAACCCCUGGCUUGCAGUGGAUACGGACAGACUAGAGUGCGGUAGGGGAGAUUGGAAUUCCUGGUGUAGCGGUGGAAUGCGCAGAUAUCAGGAGGAACACCAAUGGCGAAGGCAGAUCUCUGGGCCGUAACUGACGCUGAGGAGCGAAAGCAUGGGGAGCGAACAGG
rnacentral:rRNA from 1 species